UGAUGACAUUCUCCGGAAUCGCUGUACGGCCUUGAUGAAAGCACAUUUGAACCCUUUUCCAUCUGAUUGCUGAGGCUUUUCAUC
rnacentral:snoRNA from 10 species